ACGAACGCUGGCGGCGUGCUUAACACAUGCAAGUCGAACGGUAAGGCUCCAGCUUGCUGGGGUACACGAGUGGCGAACGGGUGAGUAACACGUGGGUGACCUGCCCUGCACUUCGGGAUAAGCCUGGGAAACUGGGUCUAAUACCGGAUAGGACCAUGGUGUGGAUACUGUGGUGGAAAGUUUUUUCGGUGUGGGAUGGGCCCGCGGCCUAUCAGCUUGUUGGUGGGGUAAUGGCCUACCAAGGCGGCGACGGGUAGCCGGCCUGAGAGGGUGGACGGCCACAUUGGGACUGAGACACGGCCCAGACUCCUACGGGAGGCAGCAGUGGAGAAUAUUGCACAAUGGGCGGAAGCCUGAUGCAGCGACGCCGCGUGGGGGAUGACGGCCUUCGGGUUGUAAACUCCUUUCACCAUCGACGAAGGGUUUCUGACGGUAGAUGGAGAAGAAGCACCGGCUAACUACGUG
rnacentral:rRNA from 1 species